UUUCCGUAGGUGAACCUGCGGAAGGAUCAUUCAUAAUCAGUGUUUUAUGGCACUUUUUUAAAUCCAUAUCCACUUUGUGUUCAAUGUCAGGGUUGAUUUUUCUCUUGAGAGGAUCAGCCCCAAACAUCAACGAUAUCUCAACUCUUUGUCUGAAAAAUAUUAUGAAUAAAACAAUUCAAAAUACAACUUUCAACAACGGAUCUCUUGGCUCUC
rnacentral:misc_RNA from 1 species